CCUACGGGAGACAGCAGUGGGGAAUAUUGCACAAUGGGGGGAACCCUGAUGCAGCAACGCCGCGUGGGUGAAGAAGUACUUCGGUAUGUAAAGCCCUGUCAGCAGGGAAGAAAAUGACGGUACCUGACCAAGAAGCCCCGGCUAACUACGUGCCAGCAGCCGCGGUAAUACGUAGGGGGCAAGCGUUAUCCGGAUUUACUGGGUGUAAAGGGAGCGUAGACGGCAAGGCAAGUCUGGAGUGAAAGCCCGUGGCUCAACCACGGGACUGCUUUGGAAACUGUGUUGCUGGAGUGCAGGAGGGGUAAGCGGAAUUCCUAGUGUAGCGGUGAAAUGCGUAGAUAUCACGCAGAACCCCGAUUGCGAAGGCAGCAUGCCGGCUUCCGACUGACGCUGAAGCACGAAAGCGUGGGGAUCGAACAGGAUUAGAUACCCUAGUAGUC
rnacentral:rRNA from 1 species